CCGUAAAUGUUGAAAAUUAGCGGAUGACUUGUGGCUGGGGGUGAAAGGCCAAUCAAACCGGGAGAUAGCUGGUUCUCCCCGAAAUCUAUUUAGGUAGAGCCUUGAGCGGACACCUUCGGGGGUAGAGCACUGUUUCGGCUAGGGGUCCAUCCCGGAUUACCAACCCGAUGCAAACUACGAAUACCGAAGAGUGAUACUCAGGAGACACACGGCGGGUGCUAACGUCCGUCGUGAAAAGGGAAACAACCCAGACCGUCAGCUAAGGUCCCAAAAUCCUGGUUAAGUGGGAAACGAUGUGGGAAGGCUCAGACAGCUAGGAGGUUGGCUUAGAAGCAGCCACCCUUUAAAGAAAGCGUAAUAGCUCACUAGUCGAGUCGGCCUGCGCGGAAGAUGUAACGGGGCUCAAACCAGGUACCGAAGCUACGGGUUCAUCGUAAGAUGAGCGGUAGAGGAGCGUUGUGUAAGCCUGUGAAGGUGAGUUGAGAAGCUUGCUGGAGGUAUCACAAGUGCGAAUGCUGACAUGAGUAACGACAAUGCGAGUGAAAAACUCGCACGCCG
rnacentral:rRNA from 1 species